CACGUAGUUAGCCGGUGCUUAUUCUGCAGGUACCGUCAGUUGCGCAAGGUAUUAGCCUGCGCCGUUUCUUUCCUGCCAAAAGUGCUUUACAACCCGAAGGCCUUCAUCGCACACGCGGGAUGGCUGGAUCAGGGUUGCCCCCAUUGUCCAAAAUUCCCCACUGCUGCCUCCCGUAGGAGUCUGGGCCGUGUCUCAGUCCCAGUGUGGCUGGUCGUCCUCUCAAACCAGCUACGGAUCGUCGCCUUGGUGAGCCGUUACCCCACCAACUAGCUAAUCCGAUAUCGGCCGCUCCAAUAGUGCGAGGCCCGAAGGUCCCCCGCUUUCCCCCGUAGGGCGUAUGCGGUAUUAGCUACGCUUUCGCGUAGUUAUCCCCCGCUACUGGGCACGUUCCGAUACAUUACUCACCCGUUCGCCACUCGCCACCAGGCCGAAGCCCGUGCUGCCGUCCGACUUGCAUGUGUAAAGCAUCCCGCCAGCGUUCAAUCUGAGCCAGGAUCAAACUC
rnacentral:rRNA from 1 species